rnacentral:rRNA from 1 species
CCUACGGGAGGCAGCAGUGGGGAAUAUUGGGCAAUGGGCGCAAGCCUGACCCAGCAACGCCGCGUGAAGGAAGAAGGCUUUCGGGUUGUAAACUUCUUUUCUCAGGGACGAAGAAAGUGACGGUACCUGAGGAAUAAGCCACGGCUAACUACGUGCAAGCAGCCGCGGUAAUACGUAGGUGGCAAGCGUUAUCCGGAUUUACUGGGUGUAAAGGGCGUGUAGGCGGGGAAGUAAGUCAGAUGUGAAAACCACGGGGUCAACCUGUGGCCUGCAUUUGAAACUGUUUGUCUUGAGUACUGGAGAGGCAGACGGAAUUCCUGGUGUAGCGGUGAAAUGCGUAGAUAUUAGGAGGAACACUGGUGGCGAAGGCGGUCUGCUGGACAGCAACUGACGCUGAGGCGCGAAAGCGUGGGGAGCAAACAGGAUUAGAUACCCGGGUAGUC